UACGGAGGGGGCUAGCGUUGUUCGGAAUUACUGGGCGUAAAGCGCACGUAGGCGGCUUUGCAAGUUAGAGGUGAAAGCCCGGGGCUCAACUCCGGAAUUGCCUUAAACUGCAUCGCUAGAAUUGUGGAGAGGUAGUGGAAUUCCGAGUGUAGAGGUGAAAUUCGUAGAUAUUCGGAAGAACACCAGUGGCGAAGGCGACUUACUGGACACAUAUUGACGCUGAGGUGCGAAAGCGUGGGGAGCAAACAGG
rnacentral:rRNA from 1 species